UGCCCAGUCUAACCUUGUGUUGCUCUGUGCACCUGACAAAUAAAAGACUUGAACUUGAACUUGAACAAUUACGCCCUUGGAAGAGAAUUGACCAAUCGGUAAUCAACACUGUAAUAGUCAACAAAAGGAUUUGUGUUUUUACAUCUCGGCUCAUUUCUACUUGACCGUUUUUUGCAGCUUCCCUAGAGCAGAAAUAUUACCAUUUCAAUACAAAGCUAAUUUGUUGAUUCAGCAAAAAGAAUCACGCACACGGAAUCAUGCACGGUUGUUCUGGAUCCCUCACCCUUCCAACAAAUGAUGGAUAUAAAAUAAGCAGGGUUUCGUGGUUAAGGAGAUACGGUACAGUGAGGGUUUUGUGUUACCGACUGCUUCAGUGAUGGAUGCCAUGGGUGAGGUUUUUUGAAAAAAACUCAACACAAUUCUCACCAACACUAAAGGAAACAAAUGUUGUGCCCCAGAGUAGAGAGAGAGAGAACGGCUACACUUUCACAAUGGCUCAAAUGAUACCCGUAGACGGAAUAUUCAUUGAGGUCUAGAAACUGUGGAUGGGUCUCGACAUGAGAACCAACAGAUUUGAAGAGACACUGAUAUCUCAUGCGACACAUCCUUCCGUCUCAAAACGACUGGGCGCAUCGUUUGCUGGGUGAUGUCAUGAGUGUGCUCCAAGGAAAGCUAGAAGGUUGUACAGUUAACUCCCAGGGUGUAAUUCUAAACCAUACAACCUACUACCUCAACCCGGAUGCACACGUGUUCACUAGAGGCCUCCUCUUCUUUGUUUACAGUCCACGGACGCGCUCUCCUGGCUUUUGUCCCGACGCAUUUUCCUGCUGGCAGGGGAUUCCCGUCAAAUUCAAAAAAGGCUGGGCGUCACGCAAAGUGGUAUCGUCUGGCGACUCAUUACAAACAGUCGUUAUGUUCAACUGGUCAAAAUGCAGCGCGCUUCCGGCACUCGAGGAAGACAGCACACCUUGCCAGUGGACAACAGGUGAACAUGACUACGACGUGACUGAAUAUCUGACCCAUUCAUCUGACUGUGGAGACCCUCAGAGGCGAGCUUGUGCGGUUCAGAUUUGCCACAAGAUCGGAUCUACGGGUUUGUGCCACGUGUGGGACCUGAGGCGUGGGCUAUUCAGAACCAGAUACGUCUACAUUAAGUAUGAGACCCUGUCCAUGAGUGGAAGAUGUGCAGACGAAACAAUCCAACAAGCAAAACUAUAAAGUAGACAGCCGAGUGUGGGUCAACUCAGUUUGUCUCAGAAUUCUUUCUUAAGUCAAAGGAAAAUUAAAAGAAAAUUGUGAAUUGA